UCGUGUAGUGCGGUCAUGUGGUGCGGAGCCAGCGUGCGCUCGCCUCCCAUCAUCAUCGUCGCCCUCUGAAUGGUCUUCAGUCCACAGUCCAGCCAAAUAAAAUCCCAAAUAAACCGAACCGAAAUCCAAACCAAACCAACAGCCACAACAACAACAACAACAAACGGAACUCUAAGGAUUCCACGACAUUUUUUUGUUCUUGUUCCUAAUUUCCAAUUUGCAACAUUAAGCCAAAAAGGAAAUACAACACAAAAAUAAUACAAAUAUAAUAAUCAGCAGAAAAGUGCUCAAAAGUGCCAAAGAAAAAAAGAAUAUAAGAAUAAAAACCGGAACCCCAAUCAGCUAAGCUGAAGAAAGUUUUUUAAAAAAAAAAAAAAAAUGUGCCUCCUUGAAAAAAAAAAUGAAAAAGAGGAUUAAAUAUUCAAUGUGCAAAGGUUAAUUUCCAAAGAAUUUUUUUUGAUAAUUUUUCUUCUUGUGCGGUUUGAACACGAGUGCAAAUAGAACAAGCAACAACAACAAAACCAAAUAAAAAAAAAUACCAAAAACAACAACAGCAACGGCGAGACAGCAACAACAACAACUAAGCUACAACUACAACAACCCACAACAAGGAUGAAGAACGGCUGCAAAUGCAACAACAUCAGCAGCAGCAACAUCAGCAACAGCAACAACGGCGACUGCGAGCGGAAACGACAGCGGCAGCUACAGAUACUUGUAACUAAAGUGACAUGAGGCCUUAACAACAAUAACACCAAAGCAACAGCAACAGCAACAACAACUAUAAGAACAAAGGAUACAACAACAAAAACA